GUCGAACGCUGGCGGCGUGCCUAAUACAUGCAAGUCGAACGCAGUUGCGAACGGGUGAGUAACGCGUAGGUAACUGCCUGGUAGCGGGGGAUAACUACUGGAAACGAUAGCUAAUACCGCAUACUACCAGAUGGAUCUGCGUUGUAUUAGCUAGUUGGUGAGGUAACGGGACACCAAGGCAACGAUACAUAGCCGACCCGGUGGGGUGUUCGGUCACACUGGGACUGGGAAACGGCCCAGACUCCUACGGGAAGCAGCAGUAGGGAAUCUUCGGAAAAGGGGGGAACCCUUGCCGAGCAACGGCGCGUGAGUGAAUAAGGUUUUCGGAUCGUAAAGGUCUGUUGUUUAGGGAGCGUUACUUAACCAGAAAGGGACGGCUAACUACGUGCCAGCAGCCGCGGUAAUAC
rnacentral:rRNA from 1 species